rnacentral:rRNA from 1 species
AUUGAACGCUGGCGGCAGGCCUAACACAUGCAAGUCGAGCGGAUGAAGGGAGCUUGCUCCUGGAUUCAGCGGCGGACGGGUGAGUAAUGCCUAGGAAUCUGCCUGGUAGUGGGGGAUAACGUCCGGAAACGGGCGCUAAUACCGCAUACGUCCUGAGGGAGAAAGUGGGGGAUCUUCGGACCUCACGCUAUCAGAUGAGCCUAGGUCGGAUUAGCUAGUUGGUGGGGUAAAGGCCUACCAAGGCGACGAUCCGUAACUGGUCUGAGAGGAUGAUCAGUCACACUGGAACUGAGACACGGUCCAGACUCCUACGGGAGGCAGCAGUGGGGAAUAUUGGACAAUGGGCGAAAGCCUGAUCCAGCCAUGCCGCGUGAGUGAAGAAGGUCUUCGGAUUGUAAAGCACUUUAAGUUGGGAGGAAGGGCAGUAAGUUAAUACCUUGCUGUUUUGACGGUACCAACAGAAUAAGCACCGGCUAACUUCGUG